AAUUGUGCCUGUUCAGGGGAGACACCCUGAUCACAAAAGUGGUUUUCCCAGGACAAAGCUUAUCAAUUGCACUCUGGAUGUGCUAACCCCUGCAAUUUCCCCAAAAGUGGGGAAACUUGACUGCAUGAUUUGUGGUAGUGGGGGACUGCAUUCUCACUCUCCCUGU